rnacentral:lncRNA from 1 species
UCAUGGGUUACUCCCGGAAGAAAUUGCUGAGUUCAAAAGGAGGAAAGCUGAAAAACUCCUUGGCAAAAGGGCCUAGAUCUGAGCCACAACUGGCCAGAUGUACUGACCAAGAAAUUGAAAUCUGUCCUGAGGGACACAAAGAGGACACUAAGAAAAGCAAACUUGAAAGAGCUGGGAAUCGUGAAUGAGGCUGGAAUAAGUUUUGGAAAGGAUGAAAUAUGAGAAGAACACUGCAAAGAACUAGUGAGAUCAGGAGGAACACCUUGAAGCCAAUCCAACAGAGCCCACACUCUCGAUUUAGCUCCCAGCCAGCCCAAAGCAGUAUAAUUAAUGAAGCCUCUUAGCUCUUUCAGAGACUGAACCUGAGCAGGCAGAUGAAUCCAGACCAUCAUCUCUUGUGAAACUGGGCACCAGCUCAGAGCCGUAUGUGUGUUUUGGGAGGGGUGCACUGGGGAGGAAAGUGAGGAUGAUAAUGAUGGUAGUUCCUGUUCCUCACGAGCAACUGUCACAAGGAUGAACUCAGUAUUUUGACUAGGUCUGCAUGGCAGCACUAACAAGUCCAGCUGCCCCUGGGCCUGGAUCCAAACAAUAAUGCCAAAGUGCUAAAAUGGUUCGACUCUUUUAUGUUAAGUAGUUGUUUUCCUGUUGCUAUUGUGGGAAGGUCUGGUUUCAUGAAAAUGAGUGCAAUUGAGAAGAAAAUGUUUUGGACAACAACAAAGAAUAUCUUUACUCCCCCACAGAAAUUUUGAUUCAAAAUGUUCUGCUCCUGUAUGUCAACUUAAGCUGAAAUAUUUUCCUUCAAAUUGACAUUUCAUCUGCAAAUGCCAAUUUAAUGCUAUUUGCAAAAUGAAAUAACAGUUUUGAAUUGAAACAGUUUGGUAUGAAUCAAUAUUUGUUUCAAAUGCCAAAAUGAGAUUCUGCUCAAAAUGUCAAAAUAUGUCAUAUUCGCAAAUCCAGAUCUAAAUUGCAAGAACUUUUUUUUUUUUCGCUUUAUAUACACACAUAUACAGGAUAUCUAAAACACUUUAUGCUUCUCAUCCCAAAGCAGGAUGAAAAUGGAAUGCCAAGAUAUUGCAAAACUGUGAUGCAGUUCUGUUAGCUGAGUAGUACUAAUAAAAUAUGAGCUUUUUUUUCCUGCA